rnacentral:rRNA from 1 species
AACGAACGCUGGCGGCAGGCUUAACACAUGCAAGUCGAGCGCCCCGCAAGGGGAGCGGCAGACGGGUGAGUAACGCGUGGAAUCUGCCCAUCUCUACGGAAUAACGCAUGGAAACGUGUGCUAAUACCGUAUACGUCCUUCGGGAGAAAGAUUUAUCGGAGAUGGAUGAGCCCGCGUUGGAUUAGCUAGUUGGUGGGGUAAAGGCCUACCAAGGCGACGAUCCAUAGCUGGUCUGAGAGGAUGAUCAGCCACACUGGGACUGAGACACGGCCCAGACUCCUACGGGAGGCAGCAGUGGGGAAUAUUGGACAAUGGGCGCAAGCCUGAUCCAGCCAUGCCGCGUGAGUGAUGAAGGCCCUAGGGUUGUAAAGCUCUUUCACCGGUGAAGAUAAUGACGGUAACCGGAGAAGAAGCCCCGGCUAACUUCGUGCCAGCCGCCGCGGUAAGAC